CGGCUGCCGGAGAGAGACAGUGUGAGUGUGUGUGAGAGAGAGAGAGGAAGGUAGCAAAGAAGGUAAACGCAACGCAACGCAAAACGCAACGCGACGUAAAAAAUAAGCGUCCACAACACGUUGCUUUUGACUUUCGACUGAGGCGGCGGCGGCCGCGGCUAGCGGUUGUGUGGCAGAGGAAGCGUAGCAGCAGCAGCAGCAGCAGAAGCAGUAUCGGCAGCGGCAAGUGUGGCGGCGGCGGCGGCCAAACGGCAGCUCAGCUGCACUUUGUGCGAGAGAGCGCGCGAGUGUGCGAAGCACAGUGGUACACGACCUAAUUGCAAUUAACCAAAAUGCAAAUUACUUGAAAAUGUGAAGAUUAAAUU